rnacentral:rRNA from 1 species
CCUACGGGUGGCAGCAGCAGGGAAUCUUGCGCAAUGGGCGAAAGCCUGACGCAGCAACGCCGCGUGGGGGAUGAAGGCCUUCGGGUUGUAAACCCCUUUCAGGAGGGAAGAAAUUGACGGUACCUCCAAAAGAAGCACCGGCCAACUACGUGCCAGCAGCCGCGGUAAUACGUAGGGUGCGAGCGUUAUCCGGAAUCAUUGGGCGUAAAGAGCUCGUAGGCGGUUCAGCAAGUCGGCUGUGAAAGUCCGAGGCUCAACCUCGGAAUUGCAGUCGAUACUGCUGUGACUCGAGUCCGGUAGAGGAGAAUGGAAUUCUCGGUGUAGCGGUGAAAUGCGCAGAUAUCGAGAGGAACACCAGUAGCGAAGGCGGUUCUCUGGGCCGGCACUGACGCUGAGGAGCGAAAGCGUGGGGAGCAAACAGGAUUAGAUACCCGAGUAGU